ACGUCGUCCGGCGAGGCACCCAAACCUUUUCUUCCUCGCAGAGAUCGACGACCUGCAGCUGCACAACAAACCUCAGCCACGCCACUAACAACUCCUUCCUUCUCUGGUAAGCAACGAUCACCUCUCCUAUGUGGUAACUUCCAAAAUCCAAAAAUUUCAUGGUUCUGGGUUGGGUUAAUUGAUGAGAUAGAGAGGUGGAGAGAGACUAAAAUAUCAGAUUUUCUCUCCGUGGUCGACUAACUUCGAUCAUAUUUGUGGCUCACUACUGCCUCCGUCAUGCUCACCGACCCUCGACGAGCAAAACCCAUUCUCCAUGUUGUCCGGCGAUGCCCAAAAGUGAACUCAGGCGCCGGCAAACCAAUAUCCAGAAUUGAGUUGGACACCCUGGUCCGACACAACACCGCCAAGAGCCUAUCUCUUCUUCCAUUAAUCACAUUUGCAAACCUCAUAGUUGUGGAUUCAUGUAUGAGAGAGAAACAAGGAGAGAUAAGCUAAAUCCCGGAUUUCCUCUCACCAUGGUUGAAGAAUUUGGGUACCCAUCCCGGCAGCUCCUCUGGUCACCACUCCACAUCUCAGCACUAGUCUUGUAUGCCUGGAACAAUGGCAUCUCUCAGUGGCAAUUGCACAACCCAGCUCCCAGUGUUGUCGUCCUCGUCCCGACAACUCCUCGUCUCUUCACCUCGGUUCAAACGGGCACUUGGCAUCCUUUACCGACAGUCCACAAGCUGCUAUCGCUGUCACACCUCACCGCCUCUUGGUGAACAACACCCCACCUACUGUUGGCGCCCAACUACCGGCGACACCAUACGUACCGGCAACACAUCCCGGUGACCCACACCGAGCUUUUUCAAUCUUCUAUGAAGUUCCUUGAGAGUGCUACCUCAGAGAGAGAGGUUGAGGACGUUGAAACAAAAUUCAAAUUCCAUUUCAAUCAAGAUGUGUUACCUCUUGAGCUACAUAAUGUCGCUGAAGAAGAUAUUUGGAAGCAAGUGUGGGAAGCAUGCCAGUAUAAGGUGGAAUCAGUUUAUAGCGUCUGCAGCAAGGCUGGCCUGUGGAGGGUUGCAUGCAACUUCGGUCCUAGCUCUGAAGAACUUGGGUUGCAAUUAUCAGGGGAAAUGGUGAGUUCUCUUUUUCUUGAACUUUUUAUUGUUGUAGAGAAUCACACUCAGUGGUUCGUCGAGGAAUGAUGAGAUGACUUUACAGCAAUUGCUGUUUGGCCUCUGUUCCUCUUUUUCAGGAACUAAAUAUCAAUGAGCUGGAGGAACCUGAAGAGAUGCCACUGGAGAUUGCUGCAAGAUUUACAUCCGAUAUUUUUCAAACGCGGGAACACGUGCUUAAAGGAGCAAGGCUGUUAGCAGCUGUUGAGAUUAGUUUGGAGCCUAUUAUCAGGCAGUAUAUGCGAAGAAAAUACUUUGACGCCCUUGUAUUACGUGCAAGGCUAUCAAGGAAGACAAUGUGGCCUAAAGUAGGAAAGAGAUUAAGUAAAUUCAAGGACGAAGAAUUGUUUCGUAUCCAGAAGGCUAAAGAUAAUGGUACUCUUGAUUUCACCAUAAAGCUGCUGGAUGAUGAUGUAGAAGACUUGUAUGAUGAUGAUGAUACAAAUAACAACAAUGAUUUGACAUUGUAAGUACUGUAUAUGUUAAUUUACUCAUGAGAAUAAAUAGGCCCUCCUGGUGAAGACUUUCUUC